UCCACGAGUUCCGUGCCGCAGCAAACGCAUUAAGUGCCCCGCCUGGGGAGUACGGCCGCAAGGCUAAAACUCAAAGAAAUUGACGGGGGCCCGCACAAGCGGCGGAGCAUGCGGAUUAAUUCGAUGCAACGCGAAGAACCUUACCAAGGCUUGACAUACACCGGAAACUUCCAGAGAUGGUUGCCCCGCAAGGUCGGUGUACAGGUGGUGCAUGGUUGUCGUCAGCUCGUGUCGUGAGAUGUUGGGUUAAGUCCCGCAACGAGCGCAACCCUCGUCCUAUGUUGCCAGCGGGUUAUGCCGGGGACUCAUAGGAGACUGCCGGGGUCAACUCGGAGGAAGGUGGGGAUGACGUCAAAUCAUCAUGCCCCUUAUGUCUUGGGCUUCACGCAUGCUACAAUGGCCGGUACAAAGGGCUGCGAUACCGCGAGGUGGAGCGAAUCCCAAAAAGCCGGUCUCAGUUCGGAUUGGGGUCUGCAACUCGACCCCAUGAAGUCGGAGUCGCUAGUAAUCGCAGAUCAGCAACGCUGCGGUGAAUACGUUCCCGGGCCUUGUACACACCGCCCGUCAAGUCACGAAAGUCGGUAACACCCGAAGCCGGUGGCCCAACCCUUGUGGGGGGAGCCGUCGAAGGUGGGACUGGCGAUUGGGACUAAGUC
rnacentral:rRNA from 1 species